CCCAUGAAAGUUUAUGCUCAAAUAAAUUUGUUAGUCUCUAAGGUGCCACAAGUACUCCUUUUCUUUUUACCUAUAACUGAUAUUCUUCAAGAUAGACUCUGCAUAUUGACACUCCCCCCUCCCUUGGAGUCAGCCCUGCUUACCAAACGGCUUGGGUUUCAAACUGAGGCAAUAGAGUGCCACUCUCUCCUUUUAAACCCUGGCCCUAGAAUGUCUGGAGUUUAGGCAAGGGGGGUAUGUGGAUGUGCCAACUGCUGCCAUUAGUAGAAUUUUACCAUUCAGGCUGUACUGUCAGAGCACCCCAUGAGUGGGGCUAUUCAGAGUCCAUCUCAAAGAACCUCAGCUACAGGUAAGUAACCUUCAUAUUUGGAUAUCUUUCUAAAUAAACCUGUUCUUGCUCACCCAGUAUUUAUUAGGCUUGAUUCAGGAAUUGCUGGGUAAAAUUUUCAGGCCACUGCUAUACAGGCAAUUGGCCUAGAUGAUCAUAAUGGUCUUUUCUGGCCUUAAAAUCUGUGAACCUACUGAAUUACCAUUUUUGGUGUUCGUUACUCUUUUUUUCCUCUAGUUUCAAUAGAUAUUUUUUAAAUGCUGAAAGCUAC